rnacentral:rRNA from 1 species
GACGAACGCUGGCGGCGUGCCUAAUACAUGCGAGUCGAACGCUGAAGGAGGAGCUUGCUUCUCUGGAUGAGUUGCGAACGGGUGAGUAACGCGUAGGUAACCUGCCUGGUAGCGGGGGAUAACUAUUGGAAACGAUAGCUAAUACCGCAUAAUAGUAGAUGUCGCAUGACAUUUGCUUAAAAGGUGCAAUUGCAUCACUACCAGAUGGACCUGCGUUGUAUUAGCUAGUUGGUGAGGUAACGGCUCACCAAGGCAACGAUACAUAGCCGACCUGAGAGGGGGAGCGGCCACACUGGGACUGAGACACGGCCCAGACGCCUACGGGAGGCAGCAGUAGGGAAUCGUGGGCAAGGGACGGAAGUCUGACCGAGCAACGCCGCGUGAGGGAAGAAGGGUGUCGGAUCGGAAAGCUCGGUUGUAAGAGAAGAACGAGUGUGAGAGUGGAAAGUUCACACUGUGACGGUAGCUUACCAGAAAGGGACGGCUAACUACGUG